rnacentral:rRNA from 1 species
GACGAACGCUGGCGGCGUGCUUAACACAUGCAAGUCGAACGAUGAAGCUAGAGCUUGCUCUGGUGGAUUAGUGGCGAACGGGUGAGUAACACGUGAGUAACCUGCCCCGAACUCUGGGAUAACUGCUGGAAACGGUAGCUAAUACCGGAUAUGACCAAUGAAGGCAUCUUCUGUUGGUGGAAAGAAUUUCGGUUCGGGAUGGACUCGCGGCCUAUCAGCUUGUUGGUGAGGUAACGGCUCACCAGGGCGACGACGGGUAGCCGGCCUGAGAGGGUGAUCGGCCACACUGGGACUGAGACACGGCCCAGACUCCUACGGGAGGCAGCAGUGGGGAAUAUUGCACAAUGGGCGCAAGCCUGAUGCAGCAACGCCGCGUGAGGGACGACGGCCUUCGGGUUGUAAACCUCUUUUAGUAGGGAAGAAGCGAAAGUGACGGUACCCGCAGAAAAAGCACCGGCUAACUACGUGCCAGCCGCCGCAGUAA